UACGUAGGGUGCAAGCGUUGUCCGGAAUUAUUGGGCGUAAAGAGCUCGUAGGCGGUUUGUUGCGUCGGCUGUGAAAUCCCGAGGCUCAACCUCGGGUCUGCAGUCGAUACGAGCAAACUAGAGUGUUGCAGGGGAGACUGGGAAUUCCUGGUGUAGCGGUGAAAUGCGCAGAUAUCAGGAGGAACACCGGUGGCGAAGGCGGCUCUCUGGACCUCUGCU
rnacentral:rRNA from 1 species